rnacentral:rRNA from 1 species
GACAUAGCCCUACAGUACUCUUGUAAGGUGAAGCCUGCCCAAUGACUGUUAAUAAUCCAAUUAAAACCAGUUCAAUGGCCGCGGUAACUCUGACCGUGAUAAAGUAGCAUAAUCACUUGUCACUUAAUUAGUGACUGGAAUGAAUGGCUAAACGAAUCCUCCUCUGUCUCUGAAAGAACUCCGGCGAAUUUGAAAUAACAGUGAAGAUGCUGUUAAAUAAUUGUAAGACGAAAAGACCCUAUCGAGCUUUACUGAAAGCUUGUAAACAAAUAUGAUUAUCACCAACGAACUCUUAAAAAUUGCAAGCCUGACAGUUUGGUUGGGGCGACCACCCCUAAAAAAGUAUCAGGGGAACUCUAAAGGUUACCAUAAUAUGGAAAAUUGCCUUACUGGAGACAAACAAGUCAAUCAGUUAUAAUUUAUAGGACAUAUUGACCCGUUAUUUUGUUCAUAAUAAAUAACGACUAUGAAAAAAGUUACCGUAGGGAUAACAGGGUAAUAUUUUCAGAGAGUUCAUAUCGAUGAAAAUGUUUGCCACCUCGAUGUUGAAUUAUGAUAUCCUAAGGGUGCAGCAGCUCUUAAGGGUUGGUCUGUUCGACCAUUAAAAUCAUACAUGAUUUGAGUUCAUUCCGUCGUAAGACA